CCUGAGGAAGCAUCGGGGUUUCUGUGAGCACGCUGGUGACGAGGCAGCCAGACUGUUCAAACUGAAGUGGAUUAAAGUAUUCGCAAGCAAAAUGUUGAAUACAUCUAGUUAAAUAUUAAAUUAUCUCAAACAUUAUAAUCCAUGGACAGAGAAGCCUGGUGAGCUACAGCCUAUGGGGUUGCAAAGAGUUGGACACGACUGAGCAACUAACACACACACACAGAUGAGGAAACUGAAACUUAUGUAGGAUUAAGCUGCUUGUCUAAGCCCACAUAACAGAUAUGUGGCAGAGGUUACUAAUGUGGGGUCCAGAGAAGAACUUCAGGAAGUCCUUGACACCUCCC